rnacentral:rRNA from 1 species
AGCUUUUUGAUAUUUAAUUAAAAGUGUGUUCUGCUCAAUGAUUUUAAAUAGCUGCGGUAAUUUGACCGUGCAAAGGUAGCAUAAUCAUUUGCCCUAUAAUUGAGGGCUAGAAUGAAUGGAUUGACGAAAUCUUAGCUUUAUUUGAUAAGAAAAAAGAAAUUUCUUUAAAAGUGAAGAAGCUUUUUUUAAUUUAUGGGACAAGAAGACCCUAUUGAGCUUUAUUAUUAUUUUAUUUUUUAUUUCUUAAUAAUUUGGUUGGGGCGACCAAGGAAGAAAGAUCUUCCUAUUAAAAAUAUUGAACCAAAGUUUUUGGUUAAAGGAAUAAGUUACCAUAGGGAUAACAGCGUUAUUUUUUUUGUGAGUUCUUAUUAAAAAAAAAGAUUGCGACCUCGAUGUUGACUUAUUUCUUCCUGGAGGUGUAGAAGCUUCAAAGGUAGGUCUGUUCGACCUUUAAAGUGAUACGUGAGUUGAGUUCAGACCGGCGUGA